UUGAACGCUGGCGGCAUGCCUUACACAUGCAAGUCGAACGGCAGCACGGGAGCAAUCCUGGUGGCGAGUGGCGAACGGGUGAGUAAUAUAUCGGAACAUACCCUAGAGUGGGGAUAACGUAGCGAAAGUUACGCUAAUACCGCAUACGCACUAAGGUGGAAAGCGGGGGAUCGCAAGACCUCGCGCGAUUGGAGCGGCCGAUAUCAGAUUAGGUAGUUGGUGAGGUAAAGGCUCACCAAGCCGACGAUCUGUAGCUGGUCUGAGAGGACGACCAGCCACACUGGGACUGAGACACGGCCCAGACUCCUACGGGAGGCAGCAGUGGGGAACUUUGGACAAUGGGCGCAAGCCUGAUCCAGCAAUGCCGCGUGCAGGAUGAAGGCCUUCGGGUUGUAAACUGCUUUUGUACGGAACGAAACGGUGAGCUCUAAUACAGUUUGCUAAUGACGGUACCGUAAGAAUAAGCACCGGCUAACUACGUG
rnacentral:rRNA from 1 species